AACGAACGCUGGCGGCAUGCCUAACACAUGCAAGUCGAACGAACCCUUCGGGGUUAGUGGCGCACGGGUGCGUAACGCGUGGGGAUCUGCCCUUUGCUUCGGAAUAACAGUUAGAAAUGACUGCUAAUACCGGAUGAUGUCGAAAGACCAAAGAUUUAUCGGCAAAGGAUGAACCCGCGUAGGAUUAGCUAGUUGGUGGGGUAAAGGCCUACCAAGGCGACGAUCCUUAGCUGGUCUGAGAGGAUGAUCAGCCACACUGGGACUGAGACACGGCCCAGACUCCUACGGGAGGCAGCAGUGGGGAAUAUUGGACAAUGGGCGAAAGCCUGAUCCAGCAAUGCCGCGUGAGUGAUGAAGGCCUUAGGGUUGUAAAGCUCUUUUACCAGGGAUGAUAAUGACAGUACCUGGAGAAUAAGCUCCGGCUAACUCCGUGCCAGCAGCCGCCGUAAUAC
rnacentral:rRNA from 1 species